rnacentral:rRNA from 1 species
UACGUAGGUGGCAAGCGUUGUCCGGAAUUACUGGGCGUAAAGAGUGUGUAGGCGGUGCUCCAAGUCUGGUGUGAAAUCUCCCGGCUUAACUGGGAGGGUGCAUUAGAAACUGGAAUGCUAGAGGAUGGGAGAGGUAAGCGGAAUUCCUGGUGUAGCGGUGAAAUGCGUAGAUAUCAGGAGGAACACCUGUGGUGUAGACAGCUUACUGGACCAUUUCUGACGCUGAGACACGAAAGCGUGGGUAGCAAACAGG